AGGCGUGUAGCUCAGUCUGGUUAGAGCGCUACUAUUACAUGGUAGAGGUCAGUAGUUCAAAUCUAUUCGCGCCUACCA
rnacentral:tRNA from 1 species